UUAGCUAUACACUGUGCGAUAUUAUACUUCAACUAAAGCACUGAUAUUUUGAUUAGGAUCUCCCUUUAAACACUAUGUUGGUGAUAUAUAAUUAAAUUUGUCUUCAACCACCAGCUCAAGCUUUUGGGUGAAUUGGUAGUUUAAUAUGGUAUCAGAGCAAGAGGUCCUAUGUUCAAGCCUCUGCAUUGUCGUUUCCUCUCCAAUUAAAAUCGAUUUCUACUUGUUGGGCCUUUCAAAUAUUUCAAGCUCACAAGUGAGGAGAGUGUUAGUUGUUGAUUUUAUGGAAUUAAUCUAUAUUUCAUUAAUUACUUAAUAGAGAUACAAGCCUAUAUAUAACCAUAGAGAAAUACACUUAAGGAAAUAAUAUCAAAUAAUAUCUCCAGAAUAAUAUCUCCUAAGAAUAAUAUCUCCUAAGAAUAAUAUCUCCUAAGAAUAAUCUAAUUAUAUUAAUAUUAGUGAUGUAUAAUUAAAUUUGUCUUCAAUCACCAACUUAAGCUUUUGGGUGAAUUGAUGGUUUAAUAUGGUAUCUUAGUAAGUGGUCUAGGAAGGUCCUGUGUUGAAGCCCCUGCAUUGUCAUUUCCUCAAUUAAAAUCAAUUUUCACUUGUUAAAUUUGUCUUCAACCGCCCGCUUAAGCUUUUGGGUGAAUUGGUAGUUUAAUACACUAAAAUGUUAAAUCUAGGGUGCUGGGUAUCAUUUUUCCGAUUGUUAGGUGGCUGGU
rnacentral:lncRNA from 1 species